rnacentral:rRNA from 1 species
UGUAAGCGUAUACCAAAGUUGUUGCAGUUAAAACGCUCGUAGUCGGAAUUUGGCAGUUCCGGAUGUGUGUACGUCGUGUGCGCACUUCGCGGGGAUUGCUUUUGUGGUCUUGCGUAGGAUGAGGCACUUUUAUUAGUGAACGUCCUCACGCAACCACUUUUUACUGUGAGAAAAUCAGAGUGCUCAAAGCAGGCAUUUGCCGUGAAUGUAUUAGCAUGGAAUAAUAGAAUAGGACUUGGUUCUAUUUUGUUGGUUUGUUGGGACUGAGUAAUGAUUAAGAGGGACAGUUGGGGGCAUUUGUAUUUCGGUGCUAGAGGUGAAAUUCUUAGAUUACCGAAAGACAAACUGCUGCGAAAGCGUCUGCCAAGGAUGUUUUCAUUGA